rnacentral:rRNA from 1 species
ACGCGAAAGCUCCCUUCGGGGAGCAAGUAGAGUGGCGCACGGGUGAGUAACACGUAGGUAAUCUACCUUUGGAUGGGGAAUAACAACCGGAAACGGUUGCUAAUACCGCAUAAUGCAGCGGCACCUAAUGGUGACAGUUGUUAAAGCGGGGGAUCGCAAGACCUCGCGUCUGAAGAGGAGCCUGCGGCGGAUUAGCUAGUUGGUAAGGUAACGGCUUACCAAGGCGAUGAUCCGUAGCCGGCCUGAGAGGGCGGUCGGCCACACUGACACUGACAUACGGGUCAGACUCCUACGGGAGGCAGCAGUCGGGAAUUUUGGGCAAUGGGCGAAAGCCUGACCCAGCAACGCCGCGUGAAGGAUGAAAUCCCUCGGGAUGUAAACUUCGCAAGAACGGGAAGAAUAAGUGAGAGUUAACAGCUCUUACGAUGACGGUACCGUUUGUAAGCUCCGGUUAACUCCGUGCCAGCAGCCGCGGUAAUACGGGGGGAGCAAGCGUUG